GGGGGCGUACUGGUUUCGACGGGGGUGUUGAAGCAAGAGUAGCGAGUAGUGGAUUCUGGGGCCACUAUAAAACCUGGAGCUUAAAUAUAAACGCUAAAAACGAUAAUUUAGCUUUAGCAGCUUAGAAAGCUGCUAACGUUCUACUAAUCAUUCCCGCAUGAUUAGAUAGGGCGCCGACUUAGCGGGGACCUGCUUACCCAAAGCUUUGAGGGAAAGUAGAAUAGAUGAAGCUAGCGUAGCCUGAAUCCUGUUGGUUGGAGUCAGGUGAGGCGAAUCUAAAAAGAACCAACUGCACUCGGAGAAGCUCUAGUGGAUAUGCUUUCGGACAGGGGUUCAACUCCCCUCGCCUCCACCA
rnacentral:tmRNA from 1 species